UGGGGAAUCUUGGACAAUGGGGGCAACCCUGAUCCAGCGACGCCGCGUGGGUGGUAAGGCCUUCGGGUUGUAAAGCCCUUUCACCGGGGAAGAUGAUGACAUUACCCGGAGAAGAAGCGCCGGCUAACUCCGUGCCAGCAGCCGCGGUAAUACGGAGGGUGCAAGCGUUGUCCGGAUUUAUUGGGUUUAAAGGGUACGUAGGCGGGCUGUUAAGUCUGAGGUGAAAGCUCCUGGCUCAACCAGGAAAUUGCCUUGGAUACUGGCAGUCUUGAGUACAGUAGAGGUGGGCGGAAUUCAUGGUGUAGCGGUGAAAUGCAUAGAUACCAUGAGGAACACCGAUAGGGAAGCCAGCUCACUGGACUGUUACUGACGCUGAGGUACGAAAGCGUGGGGAGCGAACAGGAUUAGAUACCCCCGUAGUCC
rnacentral:rRNA from 1 species